UGCCGGCGUCACUGAAGCUCUUGGAUUCCGGCCAAAUGCCUUCACGAAGCCAGAGUUAGAGAAAACCAGCGAGACAAGAACCAAGUGAGAGGCCUAGAAAGUCCCACGAUCUGGUCGUAUGGAGCUGGAUGUUUCUGCUGCGAAAAACGCUCACAACUCCAGGCAUUCCUGCAAGAUCAAAAGCUUCAUCCGCUGUCAGUGUUGCCGAGAAUCCACUGAAAGCAUAGUUGUAACUAUACCGGAUCUUGCUCGCUGCCACCUCCAUGCUGGAAAUGAAGAAAAAGGAAGUCGUCAAUCAGCCAGGAGGAAAGAAAGCAAAAAAUCGCGACGAUCUUGACCGAUGCUGGCUCGAUCCCGGCUUGUUUUCCUCCCAUGUAAACAACAUAAGUCUACGAACACACAACACAGGCUCUUCCAGAUGAAGUGACGCUCAAACACAAGAGCGCUGGGAGGACGAUGAUCUUCCAGAAAUGCUGGAACGCCAUGGAGUUUCUCUUGAACAGCGCCGCAAGCUCUUCUUUAUUCGUUCAAGCUUUGAUCAUUGGAUGCUCAGCCCACUAUCUACGUGUGGUAAAGUGGAGCAUAUUUUUGAUAGUUUGUGACUAAUUCUCUUCUUAUACUCUUUUAAAAUUUU